rfam:Picea glauca, whole genome shotgun sequence.
GGGUGCAAUCAUACCAAUGUGAAUGCAACGGAUCCCAUUAGAAAUCUGUAGUUAAGCGCACUUGGGAUAGAGUAGUACUGGGAUGGGUGACCUCCUGGAAAUUCAUAGUGUUUCACCCU